AGUGAACGCUGGCGGUAGGCCUAACACAUGCAAGUCGAACGGCAGCACAGUAAGAGCUUGCUCUUACGGGUGGCGAGUGGCGGACGGGUGAGGAAUACAUCGGAAUCUACUUUUUCGUGGGGGAUAACGUAGGGAAACUUACGCUAAUACCGCAUACGACCUACGGGUGAAAGCAGGGGAUCUUCGGACCUUGCGCGAUUGAAUGAGCCGAUGUCGGAUUAGCUAGUUGGCGGGGUAAAGGCCCACCAAGGCGACGAUCCGUAGCUGGUCUGAGAGGAUGAUCCGGCAACCUGGAAACUGGGAAACGUCCCGAAUCCUAAGGGAGGCCGCAGUGGGGAAUAUUGGAACAUGGGCGCAAGCCUGAUCCAGCCCUACCGGGUUGGGUAAGAAGGCCUUCCGGUUUGUAAGCCCUUUUGUUGGGAAAGAAAAGCAGCAGGUUAAUACCCCGCUGUUCUGACGGUACCCAAAGAAUAAGCACCGGCUAACUUCGUG
rnacentral:rRNA from 1 species